rnacentral:rRNA from 1 species
AAGGCCAGGCUGAAGACUUUGUCCGGAUUAGCUGAGAGGUGGUGCAUGGCCGUCGUCAGUUCGUACCGUGAAGCAUCCUGUUAAGUCAGGCAACGAGCGAGACCCACGCCCACAGUUGCCAGCGUACUCUCUGGAGUGACGGGUACACUGUGGGGACCGCCGCUGCUAAAGCGGAGGAAGGAAUGGGCAACGGUAGGUCAGUAUGCCCCGAAUAUCCCGGGCUACACGCGAGCUACAAUGGUUGGUACAAUGGGUAUCUACCCCGAAAGGGGACGGGAAUCUCCUAAAACCAAUCUUAGUUCGGAUUGAGGGCUGCAACUCGCCCUCAUGAAGCUGGAAUCCGUAGUAAUCGCGUUUCAACAGAACGCGGUGAAUACGUCCCUGCUCCUU